UCUACUAAUUAGGAUUUAAUAAGACAAUGGGGAAAAAAGAUGCAAAAUCACCGAGAUACAUUCAAUUGGGAGGGACCUCAUUGCUCUUAGAUACAAGGAGUCAGAGUAAAGCCAUGGAAAUUCAGGCAUGAAUUGUGAGAGGCGUUGGACAAGUUAAGCUCACUGAAACUCAGUUUCCUGUCCUGUAAAAUGGGGAUAAUAAGACCUACCUUUCAGAGUUGCUAAAAACACUUAGGAAAAAUGUAUGUAAAACACCAAUUAGCCACAAAGUAAGUGACCUAUCUAUGGUGGCUGUUAUUGUCAUAACGAGAUCAAUUUUUAAAAUAUUCUCCCUCAGCUCUCUACUCUCAG
rnacentral:lncRNA from 1 species